UACGUAGGUGACAAGCGUUGUCCGGAUUUACUGGGCGUAAAGAGCGCGCAGGCGGUCGAUCAAGUCGAGUGUGAAAGCCCCCGGCUCAACUGGGGAGGGUCAUUCGAUACUGAUCGACUCGAAGGCAGGAGAGGGUAGUGGAAUUCCCGGUGUAGUGGUGAAAUGCGUAGAUAUCGGGAAGAACACCCGUGGCGAAGGCGGUUCUCUGGGACGGUACUGACGCUGAGACGCGAAAGCGUGGGGAGCGAACAGG
rnacentral:rRNA from 1 species